rnacentral:rRNA from 1 species
AGACGGAGGGCGCAAGCGUUGUUCGGAAUUACUGGGCGUAAAGGGCAGGUAGGUGGCCUGUUAAGUCUUCUGUGAAAAUCCGGAGCUCAACUCCGUGAAAUGCAGGGGAAACUGGCAGGCUUGAGACCGGUAGAGGCUAGCGGAAUUCCUGGUGUAGCGGUGGAAUGCGUAGAUAUCAGGAAGAACACCUGUGGCGAAGGCGGCUAGCUGGGCCGGUUCUGACACUGAACUGCGAAAGCGUGGGGAGCAAACAGGAUUAGAAACCCGAGUAGUCC